rnacentral:misc_RNA from 1 species
GAUGAAGAACGUAGCGAAAUGCGAUAAGUAAUGUGAAUUGCAGAAUUCAGUGAAUCAUCGAAUCUUUGAACGCACAUUGCGCCCAUUAGUAUUCUAGUGGGCAUGCCUGUUCGAGCGUCAUUAAUUCCACUUAAGCCCUGCUUAGUGUUGGGAAUCUACUCUAGUGGUGCUACCCUGGAGCUACCCCUGAAAGGGGGCUGGCCCGGUAGCUACCCUGUAGUUCCUCAAAGAUAGUGCACGGAGUUGCGUGGUCCUCUGAGCUUAGUAACUAUACACCUAGCUUUUGAGUGUCCCGCGGCGCCUGCCGUUUAAACCCCAUCUUUUAAUGGUUGACCUCGGAUCAGGUAGGAAUACCCGCUGAACUUAAGCAUAUCAAUAAGCGGAGGA